rnacentral:lncRNA from 1 species
UUUGUCACCAAAAGGAACUGGGGAGAAGGCAUCUAUGCCCACCCUCCUGUUAGAAAAUUGCCAGGAAAUGACUUUCUUUGGCACAACUUGGAUGAUAUGCAAUCUCUUUAACCAAAUUACUAAGGCCAGGAGGAGUCAAGUGCUGUUUGUCAUUGGCUUACCUUGAGUCAGGUAUAUGCCUCUCGACCAAGUGUGGGGACCAAGUAGGCAAGGCCACACACAAUGACACCUCCCUUUCUAACUACAUUCUAGAAGAGUAAAGGCAGAAGCACAAUCCAGGCAGGAAGGGUAGGCAGUUCUGUCCCAGAAGAAAUUAAGCGUGCUGGGCAGACCAGGAAAAAAAAAAAAAAUCCCACGUGAGAAUCAGUCAGCUGGUAGAACAUUUUAAAAUUAAACAGUGAAUCUUGCUGCCUUUUCCCACAUAUGGUAAGCUGAGAUGAGAAUAUGUAUUUUUGAGAAAGCUUCCUAGGAGUUUAUUGUGUCUAUUCUAACCCUAGAGAAUCCCCCCUUUCCUAUAAUGUUACAUGUAUCACAAAAACAAAUGUGUGUGUAACUAGGCACUAUAGGCCUAAGAGUCAUAAUAGGGAAAUAAGAGAGCAUAGAUUCACCAAAUCAAAGUUUAAGUACAUAGAAAAUAAACUAAUGUGGAAUUUCCCAAGCUUUCAGUUGACUGGGGUGCUCUUGUGUUAAAAACUAUCGUGGUAACAUUUUUUGUUUUGUCCUCUAAACUUGAUUUAUCUGCAAAUCUACAAACAUUUUAAUUAUGUAAAUAGAUAUCUGUGCGGGCAAAACACUUUUUGCUCACAUGAUCUUGAGAAGGAACUUAGAUUCUGGUGUCUUAAAACGUGGCACCUUUUUUAUGUCCUUGGGGCUUUUGAGUCACCAUAUAAAUGAGGUCUCUCAUGUUCGUAUGCCAGGGAGAUCAACCACCUCUGAUUUUAAAAUAAAACACUGCAAAGAAAGCUUCCGGGAGGAAUGAGAGCAUGCCCCAAAUCACGACUCUGUAAUUAGUCUUUGUGCAGAGCGGACAGAAAUUUCGUCCCAAAGCCACCGUCCUUGCUCUGGUUCCUUUCUCUGUAAGCAUGUCACACGAACCACACUCCUGCGCCAUGCAUCGCAAUUUAAAGCUUUCCUUGUAAAGUUUCCCCAGCUUGAUUGCUUAUGGAAAGAGCAGCUCCGGUUCCCAAUUCGUUUAAUACAUCCUGUCCGAGCGCGUUUUAUUACCGAAUGUUACCCACGUUGUGAUAACAAGGGGACGCUGUGUCCUCCCCCGGUGAACUCACUCCCUGUCCCAGAAAUAUAGCGUGACUGCCCUCCCCGGCGGUGUUUUGAAAGUAGAAGCCGGGCGCCGCCCUCCAGCACCUGCACCUCCCGCCCGGCGACGGCCGCCUGAAGCACGAAGUGCGUGCGACCGCAGCCCGGCAGGUCACGCAACCCCAGGCCGCCGCGCCGCCUGCGUGCCUGCAGCCCGCCGGCCCCGCCCCCGCUGCCUGCUUCCGCCGCUUUAGUGCACGCUCGGGCUUCCUGGUGCGCCCGGAGCCUGCCUCGCGUGCCGACCCCGCCGCGUAAUCCGGCGAGGCAUCCCAGAUUCCGCCCGGCUCCAGACGCCCUCCACCGACUUUAGUUCGAGCAGACUCAUUUGGAAGCAGUGCAUUUUUAUCAGAGGGACUGAAAAGCCUUUCGAGAAUCAGUCAAGAAAAAGGAAUGCGCAUGAGAGUCAUGGUCACAUCAUGUGAUUGUAGGGAAAGCCUAGGCUAUCAUGGAGGGAAGAGAUUGGAUAAAUUAUUUGAAAAGCAAGCCUGUGAAUUGCUGUGGAGGAACAAUAGCCUGUCUCUUAUCUGGAGCCUUUCCAAGGAAAAGCAAAGGGGACCCUAGAAGGCUUCCUGGGAGACAGUUUAAUUCUGAAAACAAAGCAGUACUUCACCUCUUGUGUGUUGGGUAGAGCUGUAAAACAGAACACAGUCAAAAUAGUCAUUAGGGCCACAUCAAUGUCUGCCCAAAGUCAGGCGAGCAUUCCCAGGAAGGUGGGGGGCUGUGGCAGUUGCACACAUCAACCUCCUUUCUCCAUUGUCACACAGCAGAAGAGCGUGUUCCAUUCUACUAAAGUUGGGGCGGGGGGAGUUGAAUAAUUUAUUGACUGAAAACUGGGGGCCUGAGUUAGAUGGUAAAAAAGUUUAGAGUGCUGUUUUUUGUUUUUUAAGUUAUGUUUGUUUUAUAUAUUGAAGUGCUUAAAAUGUAUUUUAAAAAUUCAAAACAUCCCAGAAAUUCAGCAACUUGAGGAGACAAUAGUGACGAACAUUUUAUGGCAACAUUUGGACACUUUAAAGAUUAUUUCAGGAACUUUAAUGCUGAUAAAUGAGAGAAGGGACAACUUUUCCUAACUAUAACAUUUCGGCACCUGAGUACAGGGAUCAAAACAAGAGCAAGCAUUUCAAAUUCAUAUUGUGAAGCACCUACAAAAAGAUUAUUCUGUUAGCCUUCAUAAUGUGGAGAGUUCAUCUUUUCAUCUUAUCAAAUAAAAAUAUACCCAAAUUCUUGAACAGGCAUUCAGUUAGGAAAAGAGGGUGGGGUGAUGAAAUGUGUUCUCAUUCAGCAAACACUUUGCAGAUAUUUCUAGUCAAAGAUCCCUGUGGUCUAGGCUAGUGAGAGAAAAACGUGCCCUCUGCCCAGUGACAGCGGCUGCACGGGGAUCAGCUUUCACCAAUGCAGGCAGGGGAACAAAGGGCAGGCUUCAUCUGCCUGCAUCCCACAGGCCCUUGCGCAGGGGAGUUCCAUUUCAGUGCCCAUCACAUGACCUCUCAGGCCAAAACGGUUUUUAAUAAUUCUGAUUUUGAAUAUCAAAUGGAAGUGAAAAGUACAUUUAGGAAGGAAGGGCUCUAUCCUUAUUGAAGAACAUGCUCUAUGCAAACAGGUUGGACAGGCACUAGCUCUUGUAGAGCUAUGGUUCUCAGCUUUGGCAACACACUGGAUCACCUCCUCUAAAAGGUACUGAUGCCUGCUUUCCUCCCUCUUCUGCCCCUAAAGAAAGUAGAAUUUAAUUUUAAGCUCUAGGGUGUGGCCUGGGCAUCAGGACUUUUUUUUUUUUUUUGACAGAGUCUCACUGUGUCACCUAGGCUAGAGUGCAGUGUGCAGUCUUGGCUCACUGCAGCCUCAAUCUCCCAGAUUCAAGAGAUCCUCCUGCCUCAGCCCCCUAAGUAACUAGGAUUACAGGCACGCACCACCACACCAGGCUAAUUUUUGUAUUUUUUGUGGAGACGGUCUUUCACUGUGUUGCCCAAGCUGGUCUUGAACUCCUGAGCUCAGGUGAUCCACCUGCCUCAGCCUCCCAAAGUGCUGGGAUUACAGGCAUAAGCCACAGCCCCUGGCCGGCAUCAGGAUUUUUAAAAGCUCCCAAGUGCAGUCAAGGUUGAGAACAGCUGCUAUAGUGUGACUUAAUACAGCAUUCAAAGCCUCUCAUAAUCUAGCCUCAGCCUAAUUUUUCCUUCCAGCACCCCAUCUCAGCCUGUACAUAAGCCACAGAGACAUUCUCACUGUUCUCUGAAUGUACUUGGCUCAUUCAUAUUUCCAGGCUUUCUUGCACACACAUUGUCUGACUCUGGGCACCUAAGGAAAGCUCAGCUCCAAUGUCCUCUCCUCUUCCGUGAAACCUUUCCUGUCAAGCCCACCUUCACUACUAAGUCACUCCUUGCUCCUAGAUCAGAUGGAAGAAUGCUUUGGCAUAUCUCUACUGGAGCCCUUCUCACUUUACAUUAAAGAUAACUGUAUAUAGGUUAGCCCACUCCUCCUCCCUAAUAGCAUGUGGACCCUUUGUAGUUUCAGCAGUAAGCACAGGGCUUGGUUUCUAUGAAUACUUAUUGAGUGAAUGGAUGAAUGAAUGCCAAUCUUGUACAUUGUUGAUGUUCACCACAUUGAACCCAGUUCUCAAACCAGGAUCACUUGGGAGAUUCUGAGUCAAUAAUUUGAAGGUCUGUAUCAUUCCUACUCAAAGUGUGGUCCAUAAGCCAGCAGUGGCUAUAUUAUCUGGGAGCUUGUUGCAAAUGCAGAAUAUGUAUUUUAACAAGAUCCCCAGGCAAUUCAUAUGCACAUUACACUUUGAGCUAUAUUUUUAACAAGCUCCCAGGUGAUUCCUUUGUAGCCCGGCUGCUGACCUGCAUUUCGUAACCACUGUUCUAGACCUUCAUUUGCUGAAUGGAGUGGUCCCUGUGUGAUUGCCUACAGGUUUCUUCUAGUCUCCCAUUUUUCUUCCUAGUUAACAAAGCCCAAAUUUUGUUUGGAAGGGUGAUCAGCCCUUCACCCAUCAGGCCUUUGCCUCAGGGAAGCUUGACCCCACCUUUAGACCCCAUGUUGGGCCUGAGUAGUCCAAAGGCAUAUCCCAUUCCCCUGGCCAGGGAUUAGUUUAGGGAUAGACAUGUGACCAAAUUCAGCUCAAUAAAAUGUGAGUCUGCAGGGGCAAUCUAGAAAAAGUGUCCUCUUCCCUAAGAGAAAGCCACAGGAGGGUAAAAAAAUGUCUCAGAACAUUGUCCUGCCUAAACAUGAUGCCUCGGACAUUCUGCUUCUGUCUUGCUACCUGCAGCACAAGGAAAUCCAACACUGAGGGGUCACAGCAGAGGGACGGAAAGCACCUGGAUCUUACAACAUUGUUGAGCUCUUUUGUCUCUUGACUUCUAGUUAUGAGAUGUAAUUUUCUUACUGUUAAAGUCAUUUCUGUUCCUUGCAACCAAAAGCAUUCAUUGAUACACUGAAUAUAGUACAAUAUUUAUUCAAUCAAUAAAUGCCUGGCAAAUUACCCAAGUAUGAGUAAUUGUAGUUUGUCUCACAGCUAUUCUUUCAAGUAAAAGUGAUGCUCCAUGACAAAAACGGCUAGUUUAGCUUGUAACACAAACAACUGCACAAGUGCUUUUCCUUCAGACAAGUAUUGUACUUUCAUAUGUAACAGAUGUAUGUGCUUUAUGCAUGUUC